GUUGACCUCGGAUCAGGUAGGGAUACCCGCUGAACUUAAGCAUAUCAAUAAGCGGAGGAAAAGAAACCAACCGGGAUUGCCUCAGUAACGGCGAGUGAAGCGGCAAGAGCUCAAAUUUGAAAGCUGGCUCCUUCGGGGUCCGCAUUGUAAUUUGCAGAGGAUGCUUCGGGUGCAGCCCCCGUCUAAGUGCCCUGGAACGGGCCGUCAUAGAGGGUGAGAAUCCCGUAUGGGGCGGGGUGUCUGCGUCCGUGUGAAGCUCCUUCGACGAGUCGAGUUGUUUGGGAAUGCAGCUCUAAAUGGGUGGUAAAUUUCAUCUAAAGCUAAAUACUGGCCGGAGACCGAUAGCGCACAAGUAGAGUGAUCGAAAGAUGAAAAGCACUUUGAAAAGAGAGUUAAACAGCACGUGAAAUUGUUGAAAGGGAAGCGCUUGCAACCAGACUCGCUCGCGGGGUUCAGCCGGGCUUCGGCCCGGUGUACUUCCCCGCGGGCGGGCCAGCGUCGGUUUGGGCGGCCGGUCAAAGGCCUCCGGAAUGUAGCGCCCUUCGGGGCGCCUUAUAGCCGGGGGUGCAAUGCGGCCAGC
rnacentral:rRNA from 1 species